GCCACGUCAGAAGCUUUAGCUUCAUUAAGGAUCUCAUCAGCUUUCUCCUCUACCAUUUCCCUAUCUGCAAGUGUUAUUGAUCUUCCAUAAAGAUUUUCCAGAUUGGAAAGACCAUUUGGAGAAAGCCCAAAAGAGAGAAGUGAAGUGUAAGCUUCCAUGUAUACUUUGCUGCAUUUUUUUACUGCUUCAAGACCUUUCAAAGUUAU
rnacentral:misc_RNA from 1 species